GAGUAGGGCGGGACACGUGGUAUCCUGUCUGAAUAUGGGGGGACCAUCCUCCAAGGCUAAAUACUCCUGACUGACCGAUAGUGAACCAGUACCGUGAGGGAAAGGCGAAAAGAACCCCGGCGAGGGGAGUGAAAAAGAACCUGAAACCGUGUACGUACAAGCAGUGGGAGCCUCUUUAUGGGGUGACUGCGUACCUUUUGUAUAAUGGGUCAGCGACUUAUAUUCUGUAGCAAGGUUAACCGUAUAGGGGAGCCGAAGGGAAACCGAGUCUUAACUGGGCGUUAAGUUGCAGGGUAUAGACCCGAAACCCGGUGAUCUAGCCAUGGGCAGGUUGAAGGUUGGGUAACACUAACUGGAGGACCGAACCGACUAAUGUUGAAAAAUUAGCGGAUGACCUGUGGCUGGGGGUGAAAGGCCAAUCAAACCGGGAGAUAGCUGGUUCUCCCCGAAAGCUAUUUAGGUAGCGCCUCGUGAACUCAUCUUCGGGGGUAGAGCACUGUUUCGGCUAGGGGGCCAUCCCGGCUUACCAACCCGAUGCAAACUACGAAUACCGAAGAAUGUUAUCACGGGAGACACACGGCGGGUGCUAACGUCCGUCGUGAAGAGGGAAACAACCCAGACCGCCAGCUAAGGUCCCAAAGUCAUGGUUAAGUGGGAAACGAUGUGGGAAGGCACAGACAGCCAGGAUGUUGGCUUAGAAGCAGCCAUCAUUUAAAGAAAGCGUAAUAGCUCACUGGUCGAGUCGGCCUGCGCGGAAGAUGUAACGGGGCUAAACCAUGCACCGAAGCUGCGGCAGCGACACUAUGUGUUGUUGGGUAGGGGAGCGUUCUGUAAGCCGUUGAAGGUGUGCUGUGAGGCAUGCUGGAGGUAUCAGAAGUGCGAAUGCUGACAUAAGUAACGAUAAAGCGGGUGAAAAGCCCGCUCGCCGGAAGACCAAGGGUUCCUGUCCAACGUUAAUCGGGGCAGGGUGAGUCGACCCCUAAGGCGAGGCCGAAAGGCGUAGUCGAUGGGAAACAGGUUAAUAUUCCUGUACUUGGUGUUACUGCGAAGGGGGGACGGAGAAGGCUAUGUCAGCCGGGCGACGGUUGUCCCGGUUUAAGCAUGUAGGCGGAGGU
rnacentral:rRNA from 1 species